GCUAGAAAUACGAUUGCCAAAAGAGUUCAUAAUAAUUAGGCUAAGAAUAUUUAAAGAGUCAAUCUCAAAAGAUAUCCACCUAAGUGAAUAUUAUGGCAGCGGAAAUUAUUAUAUGAAACUACAGCAACAUCCUCCCUCAGCCUCGCACGACACCACCUGCCGCUCAACCUGCAAAAGGUUUUGAAAGCAAUUGCAGGGCUGAGUACUAAUAAACUCAGUGGGUUUAGCCAUUUGAAAAUAUUUGAAAAAUCCAUUUAAAAGAAUAAUCCAUGCUAUGAACAGUAUAACAUAGAAAUAUUUGAUAGCAUUCCAUGCAUACUUAAAAUAAAUAUCCAUUUCUAGUCUUCUCUCUAUUGGCGCUUCACCUAUAAUGUGAACAUGUGGGAGCAGCCCACAGAGGUCCACUACCAUGCAUGUUUCAGAAAUGGGAGCAACCCAAGUCUGACGGUCUGAGACAAGUGGGAGCAGUCCACAAUACCCCUUUGUGUGUACACAAUCCUAACCAGGGCGAUCUAAUCGCUACGCCGGCUAGGACCCGAUCGUUAGAUAACAUAGGAGCACUUUAAACAAUAGAGAUAUAAGAAACAUUAAUUUAACAUGGAUAUUCAUUUGCAUUUGCAUAAUACAAGUAGAGUUCAAUAACUCAAAGUAUACUUUGGAAAAUAAAACCCACCUUGAUAGGACAAGCCUGUAGAUAAAAUUUGCACAAUUCUCUUCUUGUAAAACCAGUGCUAAAACCUUCUAUCAAGUGG
rnacentral:lncRNA from 1 species